rnacentral:misc_RNA from 1 species
UUUUGACGUUGUUCUUUAGCCAGAGCACCUGUGAGACCGAAGCCCCUGGUUACUCCAGAGUAAGAGAUUCAUGGUUCAUAUUUUGUCGACCCGCCUAAGCGUGCCACAAAACGUGUUAGUAAAGUGGGAAAACCGAAGCUCUCCAUUAAUAAAAAAGGUUCCGCGGGACGCAAAAGUCAAGCCUGAGUUUUACCCCAGACUCUCCUUUCGAAUUGCCACCAACCGAGGCUAGUGGACUUGAGGUGUGGUAAUGAUCCUUCCGCAGGUUCACCUACGGAAA